rnacentral:rRNA from 1 species
GACGAACGCUGGCGGCGUGCCUAAUACAUGCAAGUUGAGCGCUGAAGGUUGGUACUUGUACCAACUGGAUGAGCAGCGAACGGGUGAGUAACGCGUGGGGAAUCUGCCUUUGAGCGGGGGACAACAUUUGGAAACGAAUGCUAAUACCGCAUAAAAACUUUAAACACAAGUUUUAAGUUUGAAAGAUGCAAUUGCAUCACUCAAAGAUGAUCCCGUGUUGUAUUAGCUAGUUGGUGAGGUAAAGGCUCACCAAGGCGAUGAUACAUAGCCGACCUGAGAGGGUGAUCGGCCACAUUGGGACUGAGACACGGCCCAAACUCCUACGGGAGGCAGCAGUAGGGAAUCUUCGGCAAUGGACGAAAGUCUGACCGAGCAACGCCGCGUGAGUGAAGAAGGUUUUCGGAUCGUAAAACUCUGUUGGUAGAGAAGAACGUUGGUGAGAGUGGAAAGCUCAUCAAGUGACGGUAACUACCCAGAAAGGGACGGCUAACUACGUG